CUAUCCUAAUUUUCCGCAAAAAACCAAUUGAAAAUUUAGGCCACACAUAUGGCCGUAUAACGACAAAUAUAUAUAUGAAAUCUAAACAUACUAAAUAUUAACCUACUAAUGAAAUAAUCAAAUCUCCCCACCAUCACACAAUUAAUGUUUUCCAUAUGUAUACCUCUGCAUUAACAAAUUGCAUCACGAUGAACAUUAAGAUUUGAAGACGAGUUUUACCUUGAUUAAUUAAGACUUGCGGCUCCUCAUGUCGUCUUCAGGUUUCACUUCAACCAUAAUAAAGUGUCAUGUCCAAGGUUGAUUGAUGAAGAGGAAGAGAUGAAGUUCAGUUGCACGCCCAAUGCUGAUUGAUGAAGAGGAAAAUGUGGAGUCCAGAUAAUGAUAGGAAAGAAGAAUAACUAAUUGCUACAAUGAAAGGAAAUUGACAGCUUUCAAUCAUAUUCUGAUACAAUUUGACCCUUUAGACCAGUACUGUCGCGUUGCAUCCUAUAAAUUAAAGGUGAAUGAAUGUAUGACCAGGCAUCAUUAAGGGGGACAACAAUAGAUAAAAAAGUUAUACAUGAAUUUUCGUCGUAGCUCUCACCAUGGGGCAACUAGUGAAAGAGUAAUAUAUUAAAGGCUAUAGGGGGUGUAACUUCUCUUGCUUUGGACAUUUGGUUGAAAUUUUCUAGUGAUACGAGCUGCUCAAUAUUGACAUAAAGAAAAAAAAUUUGUGUUUUUUA